rnacentral:rRNA from 1 species
AUUGAACGCUGGCGGCAUGCCUUACACAUGCAAGUCGAACGGUAACAGGUCUUCGGAUGCUGACGAGUGGCGAACGGGUGAGUAAUACAUCGGAACGUGCCUAGUAGUGGGGGAUAACUACUCGAAAGAGUGGCUAAUACCGCAUGAGAUCUACGGAUGAAAGCAGGGGAUCGCAAGACCUUGUGCUACUAGAGCGGCCGAUGGCAGAUUAGGUAGUUGGUGGGAUAAAGGCUUACCAAGCCGACGAUCUGUAGCUGGUCUGAGAGGACGAUCAGCCACACUGGGACUGAGACACGGCCCAGACUCCUACAGGAGGCAGCAGUGGGGAAUUUUGGACAAUGGGCGCAAGCCUGAUCCAGCAAUGCCGCGUGCAGGAUGAAGGCCUUCGGGUUGUAAACUGCUUUUGUACGGAACGAAAAGCCCUGGGUUAAUACCCUGGGGUCAUGACGGUACCGUAAGAAUAAGCACCGGCUAACUACGUGCCAGCCGCCGCUGUAAAAC